CACGUAGGCACCAAGCGUUGUCCGGAUUUAUUGGGCGUAAAGAGCUCGUAGGCGGUUCAGUAAGUCGGGUGUGAAAACUUUGGGCUCAACCCAAAGCCUGCAUUCGAUACUGCUGUGACUUGAGUUCGGUAGGGGAGCGGGGAAUUCCUAGUGUAGCGGUGAAAUGCGCAGAUAUUAGGAGGAACACCGGUGGCGAAGGCGCCGCUCUGGGCCGAAACUGACGCUGAGGAGCGAAAGCGUGGGUAGCAAACAGG
rnacentral:rRNA from 1 species